AUGAACGCUGGCGGCGUGCCUAAUACCUGCAAGUCGAGCGAACAGACGAGGAGCUUGCUCCUCUGACGUUAGCGGCGGACGGGUGAGUAACACGUGGAUAACCUACCUAUAAGACUGGGAUAACUUCGGGAAACCGGAGCUAAUACCGGAUAAUAUAUUGAACCGCAUGGUUCAAUAGUGAAAGACGGUUUUGCUGUCACUUAUAGAUGGAUCCGCGCCGCAUUAGCUAGUUGGUAAGGUAACGGCUUACCAAGGCAACGAUGCGUAGCCGACCUGAGAGGGUGAGCGGCCACACUGGAACUGAGACACGGUCCAGACUCCUACGGGAGGCAGCAGUAGGGAAUCUUCCGCAAUGGGCGAAAGCCUGACGGAGCAACGCCGCGUGAGUGAUGAAGGUCUUCGGAUCGUAAAACUCUGUUAUUAGGGAAGAACAAAUGUGUAAGUAACUAUGCACGUCUUGACGGUACCUAAUCAGAAAGCCACGGCUAACUACGUG
rnacentral:rRNA from 1 species